GGAAAAAUGAGGGGAAAAGUGAGGGAAAAUGAGGGGAAAAAAAGUGAGGAAAAAUGGGGGGAAAAGUGGGAAUUUGAGGGAAUAACGAGGGUUUGAGG